rnacentral:rRNA from 2 species
GAAGGCUAUGUUGGCCGGGCGACGGUUGUCCCGGUUUAAGCGUGUAGGCUGGUUUUCCAGGCAAAUCCGGAAAAUCAAGGCUGAGGCGUGAUGACGAGGCACUACGGUGCUGAAGCAACAAAUGCCCUGCUUCCAGGAAAAGCCUCUAAGCAUCAGGUAACAUCAAAUCGUACCCCAAACCGACACAGGUGGUCAGGUAGAGAAUACCAAGGCGCUUGAGAGAACUCGGGUGAAGGAACUAGGCAAAAUGGUGCCGUAACUUCGGGAGAAGGCACGCUGAUAUGUAGGUGAAGUCCCUUGCGGAUGGAGCUGAAAUCAGUCGAAGAUACCAGCUGGCUGCAACUGUUUAUUAAAAACACAGCACUGUGCAAACACGAAAGUGGACGUAUACGGUGUGACGCCUGCCCGGUGCCGGAAGGUUAAUUGAUGGGGUCAGCGCAAGCGAAGCUCUUGAUCGAAGCCCCGGUAAACGGCGGCCGUAACUAUAACGGUCCUAAGGUAGCGAAAUUCCUUGUCGGGUAAGUUCCGACCUGCACGAAUGGCGUAAUGAUGGCCAGGCUGUCUCCACCCGAGACUCAGUGAAAUUGAACUCGCUGUGAAGAUGCAGUGUACCCGCGGCAAGACGGAAAGACCCCGUGAACCUUUACUAUAGCUUGACACUGAACAUUGAGCCUUGAUGUGUAGGAUAGGUGGGAGGCUUUGAAGUGUGGACGCCAGUCUGCAUGGAGCCGGCCUUGAAAUACCACCCUUUAAUGUUUGAUGUUCUAACGUGGACCCGUGAUCCGGGUUGCGGACAGUGUCUGGUGGGUAGUUUGACUGGGGCGGUCUCCUCCUAAAGAGUAACGGAGGAGCACGAAGGUUGGCUAAUCCUGGUCGGACAUCAGGAGGUUAGUGCAAUGGCAUAAGCCAGCUUGACUGCGAGCGUGACGGCGCGAGCAGGUGCGAAAGCAGGUCAUAGUGAUCCGGUGGUUCUGAAUGGAAGGGCCAUCGCUCAACGGAUAAAAGGUACUCCGGGGAUAACAGGCUGAUACCGCCCAAGAGUUCAUAUCGACGGCGGUGUUUGGCACCUCGAUGUCGGCUCAUCACAUCCUGGGGCUGAAGUAGGUCCCAAGGGUAUGGCUGUUCGCCAUUUAAAGUGGUACGCGAGCUGGGUUUAGAACGUCGUGAGACAGUUCGGUCCCUAUCUGCCGUGGGCGCUGGAGAACUGAGGGGGGCUGCUCCUAGUACGAGAGGACCGGAGUGGACGCAUCACUGGUGUUCGGGUUGUCAUGCCAAUGGCACUGCCCGGUAGCUAAAUGCGGAAGAGAUAAGUGCUGAAAGCAUCUAAGCACGAAACUUGCCCCGAGAUGAGUUCUCCCUGACCCUUUAAGGGUCCUGAAGGAACGUUGAAGACGACGACGUUGAUAGGCCGGGUGUGUAAGCGCAGCGAUGCGUUGAGCUAACCGGUACUAAUGAACCGUGAGGCUUAACCUUACAACGCCGAAG